ACUUAGCUGACGAAUCCCAAAUAGGACGAGAUGCGCGUACUGGAU
rnacentral:hammerhead_ribozyme from 1 species